UUUGUCCUACGGGAGGCAGCAGUGGGGAAUAUUGGGCAAUGGGCGCAAGCCUGACCCAGCAACGCCGCGUGAAGGAAGAAGGCUUUCGGGUUGUAAACUUCUUUUCUUGGGGACGAAGAAAGUGACGGUACCCAAGGAAUAAGCCACGGCUAACUACGUGCCAGCAGCCGCGGUAAUACGUAGGUGGCAAGCGUUAUCCGGAUUUAUUGGGUGUAAAGGGCGUGUAGGCGGGAAUGCAAGUCAGAUGUGAAAACUAUGGGCUCAACCCAUAGCCUGCAUUUGAAACUGUAUUUCUUGAGUGCUGG
rnacentral:rRNA from 1 species